rnacentral:rRNA from 1 species
ACCCGCUGAAUUUAAGCAUAUCAAUAAGCGGAGGAAAAGGAACCAACAGGGAUUGCCCUAGUAACGGCGAGUGAAGCGGCAACAGCUCAAAUUUGAAAUCUGGCCUUCUGGUCCGAAUUGUAAUUUGUAGAGGAUGCUUUUGGUUAGGUACCUUUCGAGUUCCUUGGAACAGGACGCCUUAGAGGGUGAGAGCCCCGUACGAUUGGAUACCGAGCCUCUGUAAAGCUCCUUCGACGAGUCGAGUAGUUUGGGAAUGCUGCUCUAAAUGGGAGGUAAAUUUCUUCUAAAGCUAAAUACCGGCCAGAGACCGAUAGCGCACAAGUAGAGUGAUCGAAAGAUGAAAAGCACUUUGAAAAGAGGGUUAAAUAGUACGUGAAAUUGUUGAAAGGGAAGGGCUUAUGACCAGACCUUUGCCUUGCGGAUCAUCCGGUGUUCUCACCGGUGCACUCCGCUUGGUUGAGGCCAGCAUCAGUUUUGGCGGCCGGAUAAAGACUUCAGGAAUGUGACUCCUCCGGGAGUGUUAUAGCCUGCUGUGUAAUACGGCCGCUGGGACUGAGGACCGCGCUUCGGCUAGGAUGCUGGCAUAAUGGUCAUCAGCCACCCGUCUUGAAACACGGACCAAGGAG